GAUGAACGCUGACAGAAUGCUUAACACAUGCAAGUCAACUGUGGCGGACGGGUGAGUAACGCGUAAAGAACUUGCCUCACAGCUAGGGACAACAUUUGGAAACGAAUGCUAAUACCUGAAACUGUGAGAGAGCUUUGCGUCCCAUGAGCUAGUUGGAGAGGUAACGGCUAACCAAGGCGAGGAUGGGUAGCCGGCUUGGGAGGGUGAUCGGCCACAAGGGGACUGAGACACGGCCCUUACUCCUACGGGAGGCAGCAGUGGGGAAUAUGUGACAAUGGACCAAAGUCUGAUCCAGCAAUUCUGUGUGCACGAGGAAGUUUUCGGAAUGUAAAGUGCUUUCAGUUGGGAAGCGGUACCAACAGAAGAAGUAACGGCUAAAUACGUGCCAGCAGCCGCGGUAAUAC
rnacentral:rRNA from 1 species